AGUGAACGCUGGCGGUAGGCCUAACACAUGCAAGUCGAACGGCAGCACAGUAAGAGCUUGCUCUUACGGGUGGCGAGUGGCGGACGGGUGAGGAAUACAUCGGAAUCUACUUUUUCGUGGGGGAUAACGUAGGGAAACUUACGCUAAUACCGCAUACGACCUACGGGUGAAAGCAGGGGAUCUUCGGACCUUGCGCGAUUGAAUGAGCCGAUGUCGGAUUAGCUAGUUGGCGGGGUAAAGGCCCACCAAGGCGACGAUCCGUAGCUGGUCUGAGAGGAUGAUCAGCCACACUGGAACGGAGCCACGGUCCAGGCUCCUACGGGAGGCAGCAGUGGGGAAUAUUGGACAAUGGGCGCAAGCCUGAUCCAGCCAUACCGCGUGGGUGAAGAAGGCCUUCGGGUUGUAAAGCCCUUUUGUUGGGAAAGAAAAGCAGCAGGUUAAUACCCCGCUGUUCUGACGGUACCCAAAGAAUAAGCACCGGCUAACUUCGUG
rnacentral:rRNA from 1 species